GACGAACGCUGGCGGCGUGCUUAACACAUGCAAGUCGAGCGAUGAAGCUCCUUCGGGAGUGGAUUAGCGGCGGACGGGUGAGUAACACGUGGGCAACCUGCCUCAUAGAGAGGAAUAGCCAUCCGAAAGGAUGAUUAAUACCUCAUAAUAUUGUAGCUUCGCAUGGAGCAACAAUCAAAGGGGCACUCCACUAUAAGAUGGGCCCGCGGCGCAUUAGCUAGUUGGUGAGGGAACGGCUAACCAAGGCGACGAUGCGUAGCCGCCCUGGGAGGGUGAUCGGCCACAUUGGGACUGAGACACGGCCCAGACUCCUACGGGAGGCAGCAGUGGGGAAUAUUGCACAAUGGGGGAAACCCUGAUGCAGCAACGCCGCGUGAGUGAUGACGGCCUUCGGGUUGUAAAGCUCUGUCUUCAGGGGCGAUAAUGACGGUACCUGAGGAGGAAGCCACGGCUAACUACGUGCCAGCAGCCGCGGUAA
rnacentral:rRNA from 1 species